rnacentral:rRNA from 1 species
GACGAACGCUGGCGGCGUGCCUAACACAUGCAAGUCGAACGGAGUACCUUCGGGUGCUUAGUGGCGAACGGGUGAGUAACGCGUGAGAAACCUGCCUUUCAGUGGGGGACAACAGUUAGAAAUGACUGCUAAUACCGCAUAAUGUAUUUUAGGGCAUCCCUUGGAUACCAAAGCUUUAUGUGCUGAAAGAUGGUCUCGCGUCUGAUUAGCUAGAUGGCGGGGUAACGGCCCACAUGGCGACGAUCAGUAGCCGGUCUGAGAGGAUGAACGGCCACAUUGGGACUGAGAUACGGCCCAGACUCCUACGGGAGGCAGCAGUGGGGAAUAUUGGGCAAUGGGGGAAACCCUGACCCAGCAACGCCGCGUGAAGGAAG